AUUGAACGCUGGCGGCAUGCCUUACACUUGCGAGUCGAACGGCAGCACGGGUGCUUGCACCUGGUGGCGAGUGGCGAACGGGUGAGUAAUACAUCGGAACGUGUCCUGUAGUGGGGGAUAGCCCGGCGAAAGCCGGAUUAAUAACGCAUACGAACUACGGGAGAAAGGGGGGGACCUUCGGGCCUCGCGCGCUAGGGUUGGCCGAUGGGUGGUUAGCUAGUUGGUGGGGUAAAGGCCUACCAAGGCGACGAUCAGUAGCUGGUCUGAGAGGACGACCAGCCACACUGGGACUGAGACACGGCCCAGACUCCUACGGGAGGCAGCAGUGGGGAAUUUUGGACAAUGGGCGAAAGCCUGAUCCAGCAAUGCCGCGUGUGUGAAGAAGGCCUUCGGGUUGUAAAGCACUUUUGUCCGGAAAGAAAUCCUUGGCCUAAUACGGUCGGGGGAUGACGGUACCGGAAGAAUAAGCACCGGCUAACUACGUG
rnacentral:rRNA from 1 species